CCAGGGGAACACACACUUCUAUUUAAUAACUAAAUCCUUAUAAAGGCAGUGAUAAAUGCACAUUGGUUUCUUUUUAUUUCCUAUUUGGAUAAAUAUUGUGUGAGGCACGUUUUAAUAUGGAUGGAUGCACUUUAUUGCACUUUUUUUCGGACUGUUUAAAAACACCUGCCCACUGCCAUGAUAAAGCUUAGAAGACCCAGGACAAUUUUAUAUAAUUCCGACUGGUCUGAAAGAAGUCAUAUACACCUAGGGUGAGUAAAGCAUAUUUUUUUGACAAAUUAACCCUUGAAGAUUUGAGAUUUGAAUGCGUCUUAAAGCGCCCCCUUGAGGACGACAUUUAAGAUUCAUAAGGUGUACAGUAGUUGGAGACACUUCUCUAACUGUGAAACAACAAAGAACAGAGUAGGCAAACCCGUUCAAUCAUGGCACAACAGUCAAGAUGUACAGACGACAACACCCAUUAAAACAGAAGCAAUUGUGUGUGGACUCUGUGAUCGGUUUGAAUCCAUCCAGAUGUAAUAAAUACAGACUGUUUCAUGGAAAUAAGCUUGUGAACAAAGCGGAUGUUGGAGGAAUUUGUUAACAAACUUCAGGAUACGACUCUAGCCAUCUGCGGCUCUUGUGAAACGAUGUUAAUGAGGUACGAUCUCGUGUCCAAAGACGCAGGACGAAUUUAAAUGCACAUGCAGGAUAUGCGGAAGAAGACCAGGGAGAAACGGUGUGCUCCUUCAGUUCUCACACUAGAGGGGAAGAGAAGACGAGAAGUGAUGGACAAAGCAGCUAAUGACGCUGAUAAAAACACUAGAUCCAGCUUACUACAGUUCACUGACAGCGCUGCAGCGAAGGGUAAACUCAAAACUGCAUCAAAACAUUUACAGGAGAAACUAAGAGCAUCUGAGGAGUUUCAACAGACUUUGCAUAAUACAGCAAAACAUAUGAAGGUCAGAAUUCAACUGUUACUCCAGUAAAGUGAAAAUGUUUAUAUAUCUAUUCAACUUAUUUUUUUAACCCUUCAUUAAAAAGCCAUUUCCUGUGAAUUUUGUAACAUUGUAUAUUUUUUUAAUGGGGAAAUCAUUCUGACUGUGCUCAGUAAUUAGCAAAAACAUAGACUUACAAACCAACAAAAAAAUGACAUGGCAUUUUGACAUUACACACCUUGACAAAAAAGUGAUAAAAUUGUGGAUCGAGACCCUACAUGAAAAAAAAAUCGAUAUGAUAUUUUAGCCAUAUUGCCAACUCCUAAAUUUAAGUUUUAUUUGCCCCUCUAACUAAUGUGUUUAUGAUUAUGAUAAUAAAUUAAUAUCAUAUAAAAUAGUUUGAAUGAUAAACUGCUUUUGAACAGCUAAAAAAGCUGGAAGUGCUCAUUAAAGUUAAAAAUGGUUGCACUUUGAAAAGGUUUGUAUGGUUUCUCCUCUUAUGAACUCUAACCCUAAUCACUGACUACUGAGUGUUUUUCCAGAGUGUCUCAGUGUAAAGUGCCAGAUCCAGAGGACAUUUCUGGAGUUCUGAUCAAUGUGCCAAAACACCUGAGCAACCUGAAGUUUACUGUGAUGCAGAAGAUGCUGAAAACUGUUGAUUACACUCCUGUGACCUUUGACCCUAACACUGCUCACUGUAAUAUCAUCCUGUCUGAGGAUCUGACCAGUGGGAGAUACAGUGAUGAGGAACAGACUCCUGAGAAUCCAGAGCGAUUCGACAUGUCCGCAUGUGUUGUGUGCUCACAGGGCUUUGACUCUGGCUCUCACUGCUGGGAUGUUGAAGUUGAAACACAGGCUGGUUCCUCAGAGUGAUGACCGAAUCUGCUCAGAGGAGGAAUAAAAUAUUCUCAAGGAGAGGAAUCUGGCUGGUGGGUCAUUUCUGUGGAGAAUAUAAAGCACAUGAACCACCACAAUCACUAGCUCUCCUCCCAGUGAAAGAGAAACUGCAGAGGGUCAGAGUUCAGCUGGACUGGGACAGUGGAAAGCUGUCGUUCUCUGACCCUCUUACUGACACUCGUAUGCACUCUUUUACACACAUGUUCACUGUAAGUUUAUUUCCAUCCUUCAGUGUUGGCUGUGACAUUUCUCAUCUUCAUAUCUUACCUGUAAAUUCCACAGUAAAAAAAAAAAAAAAAAAAAGAUUUGCUCUAAAUCGUUAUUAAUCUUGACCUAAAAUAUGUCUUCAUUUAAUAAUCUUUGACUGC